UCAUCUUCGGGGGUAGAGCACUGUUUCGGCUAGGGGGUCAUCCCGACUUACCAACCCGAUGCAAACUACGAAUACCGAAGAAUGUUAUCACGGGAGACACACGGCGGGUGCUAACGUCCGUCGUGAAGAGGGAAACAACCCAGACCGCCAGCUAAGGUCCCAAAGUCAUGGUUAAGUGGGAAACGAUGUGGGAAGGCACAGACAGCCAGGAUGUUGGCUUAGAAGCAGCCAUCAUUUAAAGAAAGCGUAAUAGCUCACUGGUCGAGUCGGCCUGCGCGGAAGAUGUAACGGGGCUAAACCAUGCACCGAAGCUGCGGCAGCGACACUAUGUGUUGUUGGGUAGGGGAGCGUUCUGUAAGCCUGCGAAGGUGACCUGUGAGGGUUGCUGGAGGUAUCAGAAGUGCGAAUGCUGACAUAAGUAACGAUAAAGCGGGUGAAAAGCCCGCUCGCCGGAAGACCAAGGGUUCCUGUCCAACGUUAAUCGGGGCAGGGUGAGUCGACCCCUAAGGCGAGGCCGAAAGGCGUAGUCGAUGGGAAACAGGUUAAUAUUCCUGUACUUGGUGUUACUGCGAAGGGGGGACGGAGAAGGCUAUGUUAGCCGGGCGACGGUUGUCCCGGUUUAAGCAUGUAGGCUGGUUGUCCAGGCAAAUCCGGAUAAUCAAGGCUGAGGUGUGAUGACGAGGCACUACGGUGCUGAAGUAACAAAUGCCCUGCUUCCAGGAAAAGCCUCUAAGCAUCAGGUAACAUUAAAUCGUACCCCAAACCGACACAGGUGGUCAGGUAGAGAAUACCAAGGCGCUUGAGAGAACUCGGGUGAAGGAACUAGGCAAAAUGGUGCCGUAACUUCGGGAGAAGGCACGCUGGUGUGUAGGUGAAGUCCCUGCGGAUGGAGCUGAGACCAGUCGAAGAUACCAGCUGGCUGCAACUGUUUAUUAAAAACACAGCACUGUGCAAACACGAAAGUGGACGUAUACGGUGUGACGCCUGCCCGGUGCCGGAAGGUUAAUUGAUGGGGUUAUCCGUAAGGAGAAGCUCUUGAUCGAAGCCCCGGUAAACGGCGGCCGUAACUAUAACGGUCCUAAGGUAGCGAAAUUCCUUGUCGGGUAAGUUCCGACCUGCACGAAUGGCGUAAUGAUGGCCAGGCUGUCUCCACCCGAGACUCAGUGAAAUUGAACUCGCUGUGAAGAUGCAGUGUACCCGCGGCAAGACGGAAAGACCCCGUGAACCUUUACUAUAGCUUGACACUGAACAUUGAGCCUUGAUGUGUAGGAUAGGUGGGAGGCUUUGAAGCGUGGACGCCAGUCUGCGUGGAGCCAACCUUGAAAUACCACCCUUUAAUGUUUGAUGUUCUAACGUUGGCCCCU
rnacentral:rRNA from 1 species